rnacentral:misc_RNA from 1 species
AUUACCCCUUCGGUAGUCGAUCCCCAUUCGGUUUUUCUAAGGCUUAACGCCCUCUGCUGAUGAGGUUUCUCCUUUCUCUGUGAUCGCCUUUCCAUCAGCUUUCUUUUAUGCUGGGUACUUCACUGAAAAACCUACGGUUGGCUUCGUUUCUGCUUCAGCUUCCAACUUCCUCUUUUUCGUACUGCGGGCUUCUUGCGGUUCCCCGGGCGCCUCUUAUCUUUCCUUAUGUCUUUACUACUUAGAGAGAUCACAUAAUUGCUUCUUUUGUCUGGAAGCCUCUUUCCGG